UUCUGUGGUUGUCAUCUGUUUUUUUCUUUCGGCCCGGCAGAGAGAAGGCGACAGGGCAAAUUCCAGCCCUUCAGACGACUCUUUGGGAGGAAGAAGAAGAGGGAGGUGAAGGGGGGCUUGGAUGGAGCAGAGCUGAAGGCGAGCUUUUCUACCGGGGAAGUGUGCAAUGGAGUCGUGUCUGACGAGGACGAGCCCAAUCCAAAUUUGAGGGAGUUGAAUCCCAUCGGCUCUCGAGCUCUCUCUCACGACAGCAUCUUCAUCCCAGAGGAGCCGGUGACCGAGGCCGGUCUGGAUCACAGCAUGUCGCAGGAAAACGUCUCAGAUAAAGUCAGGAAUCUGCAGAGGCAGAUCGCACAGGGUAUCAAGUUUGGCCAGAGGCCUCCCUGUCUAAGGAAAAGUGAAGGAGAUGAGGAGAGUUCAGAUGAGGAAGAGGUUCCGCGCAGUCCUCUGAAGGUGUUGGCUCAGGUGGAGUCUGAGCCGGCAAACACAGAGACAAAGCCGGUCCAGGGGGCUCAACAUACUGAACCUCAUAGCACCCCGGUGAAGUCUCCCAGGUCCAAGAGAGUUCUUCCACCCACAGGAACCAUCGAGUCCAUCAACCUGGAUGCCGUUCCACAAUCUGUCCCUCGCCUGGACAACACCGCCGCCAAACACAAACUGGCCGUCAAACCUAAAAACCAGAGAGUGUCACGCAAACACCGGAGGUUUACCCAGGACUUCCAGGAGGUUUCUAUUCCGGGUGUGCUGCAGGAGGAGCUGGAGGCGGCCGGCGUCUCCUCAGAGGAGCAGCGCAGAGCUUCUGUGGAGUCCCUGGACGGUUUCAAGAAACAGAGACUCCACGAGGAGGAGAGACAAGAGACGAGGAGGAGGAGGGAGCUGGAGGAGCAGAGGCUCAAAUGGGAGGAGGAGGAGGAGAAGAGGAAGAGGGUUGCGGAGGAGCUAAGGCUGCGAGAGCUGGAGGAGGAGAGGUGUCGUAAACAACGAGAGGAGGAGGAACAAAGGCUGAGGAGGGAGGAAGAGGAGAGGAGGAUGAGAGCGGAGGAAGAAAGGAGGCAGAGAGAGGAGGAGGAGAGGAGGGUGAGAGAGGAACAGGAGCGCAGGCAGCGUGAAGAGGAGGAGAGGAGGCGACUGGAGGAGCAGAGGAGGAAAGAGGAGGAGGAAAGAAAGAGGAGAGAAGAGGAGGAAGAAGAAGUGAGGAGGCAGCUGGAGAAGAGGAGGAGACAAAGAGAGGAAGAGGAGGAGAGGAAGAAAAAAGAGGAAGGGGAGAAGCUGAGGCUGCAGGAGAUCGAAGAGAAAAAGAAACAAGAAGCCGAGGAGAGGAGGAGGAGGGAGGAGGAGGAGCAGAGGAGGCUGUCGAUGGAGGAGGAGGCUGACGGCUGCUCGGAUCCACUGGAGAGGAAGAGGAGGGCGGAGGAGCUGCGGUGGAAGGAGAUGGAGGAGAGACAGCGGCCUUUCUCUUUCAAAGUUUCCUCUGGAGAGAAACAGAUUCUCUUCCAGAAGGUGAACCUGACGCCUGUGACGCCGGCCUCCAGCCAGCAGGGCGGCGCCGCGGCCGAGCAAAGAGAGAGCACCAAGGGCUCCUCGUCCUCUGAAGGAGCUGACUCUCCAAAUCUGCCAACGUCCCCGUACGUCCCCCACACCGCCAUUCUUGUCACGGGCGCUCAGCUCUGUGGGACAGCAGUCAACUUGGACCAGAUCAAAGACACAGCCUGCAAGUCUCUGCUGGGUCUCGGAGAGGACAGGAAGGCGCAGGGGACCCCGCCCACCAAGAGUAAGACAUCACCGGACCGCAAGUCUGGUAAAACUAAAUCCCUCAACGAGUCCUCCUCGCUCUCUACGGAUCAGUCCGGUUCCGCGGUCCUUGCGGAGUGGGCGAGCAUCAGAUCGAAAAUAUUCAAAGGAGUCGAGGAGGGGAAAUAUGACGAGCACGAGCCUGGCAAACAGCCGGGAGCUGAGGAACAGCCUGCCUUCUCCCACGCCAACCUCAGAAAGACCAUGUCCGCCAGCGCCAAGUUCUCCAUCACACCCGCAAAGAAGAAGUUUGGAGAUUCAAACAGGAACUCGGAGGUCUUCAGUGCAGAAGAAGCAGUGGAUGAAGUUGCUCCUUCUGAAACUCCGCCUCCUCCUCCUCCUCCUCCAGCCAGCCGCCCUCAGAGCAGGACGAGUAAAACCGUCCGCAUCGUGGAGCGAGGCUCAGAGGAGUGCAUGUUCGCCAAAGACCUGCCCUCCUUCCUGGUCCCGAGUCCCGGAGCCAAACCUGAGGGAUUGGAGCUGAAGAGCAGGGCGAAGAGCGAGACGGAGGCAGGCGAGGGAGCGGACGGAGGAGGACAAGACGGGGAGGACAAUCCUUCACCGUUUGGCAUCAAGCUGCGCAGGACCAACUUCUCGCUCCGCUUCCACAGCGAGCAGUCCACCGAGAAACGGAAGAAACGCUACAGCGCUGGGGACAGCUUCGACGGCGUCCCUUCACCUCUCACCCCCAUCGAGCCGGACUCUGACACCUCCUCUGUCUUCUCUGAAAAGUCAAGUCCAACAUCGCCUCAGAAGGAAGGCGCCGUUGGCAAGUACUCGCAUGCGUCCGCCUCGCCUGCGUUCCCUCGGGGUAAAGCGGGUAAGUCGACCAGCAGUCCCCCUGCACACGUUAACGCUGAGAAAGUGGUUUCCAAACCUCCGAUCUACCGCAGACCAACAACGUCGCCCAAGCCAGUCCCCACACCUCCCCCGUCGCCGCUACCCAAAGUGUCCCCGGGGCCUCCCAGUGAUGUCCUGACCCAGAGGACGGGAGCCGCAGAGUCGUCCGGCCAGGAGCCGACGAGGAGCGAGGAGGCUUCAGCGAUAACCCGGAUAAGCCCCGUCCAAGGAGAGGAGGAGCCGAAGGAGAAGAGAUCCUUCUUCCCCUCCAUCAACAUCCCCUGGAGAGAGAAGACGGACAGGAAGACGGAGCUCAUCAAAAAGGAGAAGCCGUCCCCUGCAGAGCAGACACUCUCUGGACAGUUCAAGGGUCCAGGACAAGGAGGCGGGGCCUCUGUGGAUCACGCUGGCUCUGCAGAAACAGAAAGGUUUCCGGGAGCAGCAGCAGAACCGAGACGAGCGUCGCAGCCAAAGAGAGGCCAAGCAGGCUGAGAAGCACGCUCGAGACAGUGUCGCUCUGCUGAGCCCCACAGAGAGCCGAGGGAGCGGCAGCACCAGCCCGUCCUCCAAACCUCAAACACCGGAGGAGCCAAAGAGACCCGACAGCCUGCUGGGACGAUUCGAGCGACGAGAACAACUGAAGAAAGCCAGCACUUUACCAAGCUCUGUCACUGUUGAGAUCACAGACUCCACACCGUCGCCCCCUGCUGUCAAGGAGGUGUCAAAGCGCUUCCCAUCCACCGACUCCCCACAGGUGUCCACAGAGCCUGCCUGGCUAGCCCUCGCCAAGCGGAAGGCCAAAGCGUGGAGCGACUGUCCUCAGAUCAUCAAAUAACACAAACAGAUGCGCACACACACACACACACACACCGGCUCCGGCCUGCACUAAGACUACACACUGCCCACAGACUCUCCUCCCCCCCUCCCCUCCUAGAAAACCUACCUGACUGUGAAGCCACGCCCUCCAUCACCUCGUACCCCCGACACACACACACACACACUGUCUGGUACUAUUAUCAUGUUAAAGUGCGCUUCACAUUCAGAUACUCUCAAACAGCUGCACACAGAUAUGUAAACUCCAGUCGCGCGCAUGCACAUACUGUAUACAAACAUACACACACACGUAUAGAUGCAGAUAGAAACACACCGCAGUACUAAGCAGCCAAUCAGAAGCAGGGCUGGCACUUCGCAACAGCCAACCCUGAUGUUUUUUUUAUUUUGUAGCCAAGCGUGUCACCUUCAUUGUAAAUAAACCAUCGGCUCAUAAAAAAAAAAAAAACUGGUGAAACUUGUGUAUUGGAGAGCUCUGACAUGUGAGUGUGUAAUCAGCCGAGGGUUAACUGUCUGUGUUCAAAGGGCUACCAGUUAACUAUAGUGCCACCUGUGGACCACUGGUGGAAGUGUUACAUCCUCUGUGCCCUCGUUAGUAUUAUUUCUGUACGUUUAAAGAUCUCCUCUCUGA